UACGUAGGUGGCAAGCGUUGUCCGGAUUUACUGGGUGUAAAGGGCGUGUAGCCGGGCUGACAAGUCAGAUGUGAAAUUCCGGGGCUCAACCCCGGACCUGCAUUUGAAACUGUUGGUCUUGAGUAUCGGAGAGUCAGGCGGAAUUCCUAGUGUAGCGGUGAAAUGCGUAGAUAUUAGGAGGAACACCAGUGGCGAAGGCGGCCUACUGGACGACAACUGACGGUGAGGCGCGAAAGCGUGGGGAGCAAACAGG
rnacentral:rRNA from 1 species